rnacentral:rRNA from 1 species
UGGUGGGUAGUUUGACUGGGGCGGUCUCCUCCUAAAGAGUAACGGAGGAGCACGAAGGUUGGCUAAUCCUGGUCGGACAUCAGGAGGUUAGUGCAAUGGCAUAAGCCAGCUUGACUGCGAGCGUGACGGCGCGAGCAGGUGCGAAAGCAGGUCAUAGUGAUCCGGUGGUUCUGAAUGGAAGGGCCAUCGCUCAACGGAUAAAAGGUACUCCGGGGAUAACAGGCUGAUACCGCCCAAGAGUUCAUAUCGACGGCGGUGUUUGGCACCUCGAUGUCGGCUCAUCACAUCCUGGGGCUGAAGUAGGUCCCAAGGGUAUGGCUGUUCGCCAUUUAAAGUGGUACGCGAGCUGGGUUUAGAACGUCGUGAGACAGUUCGGUCCCUAUCUGCCGUGGGCGCUGGAGAACUGAGGGGGGCUGCUCCUAGUACGAGAGGACCGGAGUGGACGCAUCACUGGUGUUCGGGUUGUCAUGCCAAUGGCACUGCCCGGUAGCUAAAUGCGGAAGAGAUAAGUGCUGAAAGCAUCUAAGCACGAAACUUGCCCCGAGAUGAGUUCUCCCUGAGACUUUAAGUCUCCUGAAG